AGAUUGAACGCUGGCGGCAUGCCUUACACAUGCAAGUCGAACGGCAGCACGGGGGCAACCCUGGUGGCGAGUGGCGAACGGGUGAGUAAUGCAUCGGAACGUGCCCAGUAGUGGGGGGAUAACUAGUCGAAAGAUUAGCUAAUACCGCAUACGACCUACGGGUGAAAGCGGGGGAUUCGCAAGAACCUCGCGCUAUCGGAGCGGCCGAUGUCUGAUUAGCUAGUUGGCGGGGUAAAGGCCCACCAAGGCUUCGAUCAGUAGCUGGUCUGAGAGGACGACCAGCCACACUGGGACUGAGACCACGGCCCAGACUCCUACGGGAGGCAGCAGUGGGAAUUUUGGACAAGUGGGCGCAAGCCUGAUCCAGCCAUGCCGCGUGACGGGAAGAAGGCCGUUCGGUGUAAACCGCUUUGGCAGGAACGAACGGCGCGA
rnacentral:rRNA from 1 species